GGGGGGUUAGCGCAAUGGUAGCGCGUCCGCCUCCAGAGCGGAAGGUUGUUGGUUCGAUCCCUGCACUCCCCA
rnacentral:tRNA from 1 species